rnacentral:rRNA from 1 species
GGCGGACGGGUGAGUAAUACUUAGGAAUCUGCCCAUUAGUGGGGGACAACUAGAAGAAAUUCUAGCUAAUACCGCAUACGCCCUACGGGGGAAAGCGGGGGAUCUUCGGACCUCGCGCUAAUGGAUGAGCCUAAGUCGGAUUAGCUUGUUGGUGAGGUAAAGGCUCACCAAGGCGACGAUCCGUAGCUGGUCUGAGAGGACGACCAGCCACACUGGGACUGAGACACGGCCCAG